rnacentral:rRNA from 1 species
UAGGGAUGAUUUAAUAAAUAAUUUUAUAAUAAAAGAAUUUUUAAAAUAAAUAAUUAUAUGUAUAUAUUAAUGGGGGUUAAAGUAUAUUUAUAGAAAAAAUUUAAAAAUUUAUAGUAAAUUAGUAUUGUAAAAGAAUAUUGAAAUAUUUGAAAAAUAAUUAUUUUAAAAGUAAAUUUAAUUUAUUGUAUCUUGUGUAUCAGAGUUUAUUAAUAAAAAUUUUUGGGGGAAAAUUUUUCGAAUUUAAAAGAGUUAAUUAAUUAAUGAUUUUAUUGUUACAUAAAUAUUUAAAAUAAUUAAUUAGAAAUGAAAUGUUAAUCGUUUUUAAAUAUAUCUAGUUUUUUUAGAAAUAAAUUUAAUUUAGGAUUUUUAUAAAAUUAUUAUAAAUUAAUUUAUAAUAAUUUUAUAAAAAUUUAAUAUUUUAAGGGAUAAUCUUUAAAUUAAAUUUUUAUAAUAAAUUAUAAAUUUAAAUAAAAUUUUUAAAAUUUAUAUUGUUUAUAAAUUAUAUUUUUUUAUAAAAAUUUUUAUUAAUAAUAAAAUUUUUAAUUAAUAUUUAAAUUUUUAUAAAAAAAUAAUUUUUAAUAAAAUAAAAUUAGCUAUAAUGAUAAAAUUAGUAUAUUUUAAUAAAUAAAUAAUGUAUAUUUAAAAAUAAAUAAAAAAAAGGAAUUCGGCAAAUUUUUAUAUUCACCUGUUUAACAAAAACAUGUCUUUUUGAUUUUAAUUUAAGGUCAAAUCUGCCCACUGAUUUAUAUUAAAGGGCUGCAGUAUAUUGACUGUACAAAGGUAGCAUAAUAAAUAGUCUUUUAAUUGAAGACUUGUAUGAAAGAUUUGAUGAGAUAUAAACUGUCUCUUUUUUAUAUUUAGAAUUUAAUUUUUUAGUAAAAAAGCUAAAAUUAAUUUAAAAGACGAGAAGACCCUAUAGAGUUUUAUAAUUAAUUUAUUUAUAUAUUUAUAUGUAUAAUUUAAAAUUUGAUUAAUUUAAUUAUUUUGUUGGGGUGAUAGAAAAAUAUAUUAAACUUUUUUUAAAAAUAAAACAUUAAUUAAUGAAUAAAUGAUCCAUAAAUUAUGAUUAAAAGAAAAAAUUACCUUAGGGAUAACAGCGUAAUUUUUUUUUUUAGUUCUUAUAGGAAAAAGAGUUUGCGACCUCGAUGUUGGAUUAAGAUAAAAUUUAAAUGUAGAAGUUUAAAAUUUUUGAUCUGUUCGAUCAUUAAAAUCUUACAUGAUCUGAGUUCAAACCGGUGUGAGCCAGGUUGGUUUCUAUCUUUAAAUAAAAUAAAUAUUUUAGUACGAAAGGAUCAAAUAUUAAAAAUAAUUUUAUUAUAUUGAAUAUUAUUAAUUGUAUAUGUGUUAUAUAUAUAUAUAUAUAUAUAU